GAUGAACGCUGGCGGCGUGCCUAAUACAUGCAAGUCGAGCGAACGGACGAGAAGCUUGCUUUUCUGAUGUUAGCGGCGGACGGGUGAGUAACGCGUGGAUAACCUACCUAUAAGACUGGGAUAACUUCGGGAAACCGGAGCUAAUACCGGAUAAUAUUUUGAACCGCAUGGUUCAAAAGUGAAAGACGGUCUUGCUGUCACUUAUAGAUGGAUCCGCGCUGCAUUAGCUAGUUGGUAAGGUAACGGCUUACCAAGGCAACGAUGCAUAGCCGACCUGAGAGGGUGAUCGGCCACACUGGAACUGAGACACGGUCAAGACUCCUACGGGAGGCAGCAGUAGGGAAUCUUCCGCAAUGGGCGAAAGCCUGACGGAGCAACGCCGCGUGAGUGAUGAAGGUCUUCGGAUCGUAAAACUCUGUUAUUAGGGAAGAACAUAUGUGUAAGUAACUGUGCACAUCUUGACGGUACCUAAUCAGAAAGCCACGGCUAACUACGUG
rnacentral:rRNA from 1 species